UUUAUGGAGAGUUUGAUCCUGGCUCAGGAUGAACGCUGGCGGCGUGCCUAAUACAUGCAAGUCGAGCGAACAGACGAGGAGCUUGCUCCUUUGACG
rnacentral:rRNA from 1 species